rnacentral:rRNA from 1 species
UACGAAGGGGGCUAGCGUUGUUCGGAAUUACUGGGCGUAAAGCGCACGUAGGCGGAUUGUUAAGUUAGGGGUGAAAUCCCGGGGCUCAACCCCGGAACUGCCUUUAAUACUGGCAAUCUCGAGUCCGAGAGAGGUGAGUGGAAUUCCGAGUGUAGAGGUGAAAUUCGUAGAUAUUAGGAGGAACACCGGUGGCGAAGGCGACACUCUGGACAAUAACUGACGCUGAGGCGCGAAAGCGUGGGGAUCAAACAGG